CUGGAUUCUUCAUCAAAAUAACAAACCUUUGUCCAGACCCAUUUCUUUUCCUUGCCUACACAAUUCGGGUAUUUUCAGCUAACUCUUUUGCAAAGUCCAAGAAUUGCUUAAGAAAAUUAAUUGCCAUGAAAGAACACGAACUACAAAAAAAGUCCUCAGCAAUGAAGAGGUACUGCAGUGCAGCAUUUCCCUGGAUUACGCUGCCACCCUUGUCAAACCAGAACAUCAAAGAACUUUUCGUGUGCAUUUGGAACCAUUUUUUGUCUGGUUUGCUUCCACAGCUUCAAUUUUAA
rnacentral:lncRNA from 14 species